rnacentral:rRNA from 1 species
UGGGGAAUAUUGGACAAUGGGCGAAAGCCUGAUCCAGCCAUGCCGCGUGUGUGAAGAAGGUCUUCGGAUUGUAAAGCACUUUAAGUUGGGAGGAAGGGCAGUAAGCGAAUACCUUGCUGUUUUGACGUUACCGACAGAAGUAGCACCGGCUAACUCUGUGCCAGCAGCCGCGGUAAUACAGAGGGUGCAAGCGUUAAUAGGAAUUACUGGGCGUAAGGCGCGCGUAGGUGGUUCGUUAAGUUGAAUGUGAAAGCCCCGGGCUCAACCAGGGAACUGCAUCCCAAACUGGCGAGCUAGAGUAGGGCAGAGGGUGGUGGAAUUUCCUGUGUAGCGGUGAAAUGCGUAGAUAUAGGAAGGAAAACCAGUGGCGAAGGCGACCACCGGGACUAAUACUGACACUGAGGUGCGAAAGAGUGGGGAGCAAACAGG